UACGGAGGGAGCUAGCGUUGUUCGGAAUUACUGGGCGUAAAGCGCACGUAGGCGGCUUUGUAAGUUAGAGGUGAAAGCCCGGAGCUCAACUCCGGAACUGCCUUUAAGACUGCAUCGCUUGAAUCCAGGAGAGGUGAGUGGAAUUCCGAGUGUAGAGGUGAAAUUCGUAGAUAUUCGGAAGAACACCAGUGGCGAAGGCGGCUCACUGGACUGGUAUUGACGCUGAGGUGCGAAAGCGUGGGGAG
rnacentral:rRNA from 1 species